UCGACGAUGAUGCCCUGCUUGCAGGGUGGAUUAGUGGCGAACGGGUGAGUAACACGUGGGUGAUCUGCCCCGCACUUCGGGAUAAGCCUGGGAAACUGGGUCUAAUACCGGAUACGACCCCCUGGUAGAUCAGGGGGUGGAAAGAUUUUAUCGGUGUGGGAUGAGCCUGCGGCCUAUCASCUUGUUGGUGGGGUAAUGGCCUACCWAGGCGUCGACGGGUAGCCGGCCUGAGAGGGUGAUCGGCCACAUUGGGACUGAGACACGGCCCAGACUCCUACGGGAGGCAGCAGUAGGGAAUAUUGCACAAUGGGCGCAAGCCUGAUGCAGCGACGCCGCGUGGGGGAUGACGGCCUUCGGGUUGUAAACUCCUUUCGACAGGGACGAAGCUUAUGUGACGGUACCUGUAGAAKAAGCACCGGCUAACUACGUGCCAGCAGCCGCGGUAAUACGUAGGGUGCGAGCGUUGUCCGGAAUUACUGGGCGUAAAGAGCUCGUAGGUGGUUUGUCGCGUCGUCUGUGAAAUCCCGGGGCUUAACCUCGGGCGUGCAGGCGAUACGGGCAUAACUUGAGUGCUGUAGGGGAGACUAGAAUUCCUGGUGUAGCGGUGAAAUGCGCAGAUAUCAGGAGGAACACCAAUGGCGAAGGCAGGUCUCUGGGCAGUAACUGACGCUGAGGAGCGAAAGCAUGGGUAGCGAACAGGAUUAGAUACCCUGGUAGUCCAUGCCGUAAACGGUGGGCGCUAGGUGUAGGGGACUUCCACGUCUUCUGUGCCGCAGCUAACGCAUUAAGCGCCCCGCCUGSGGAGUACGGCCGCACGCUAAACUCAAAGGAAUUGACGGRGCCGCACAGCGGCGGAGCAUGUGGAUURAUCGAUGCA
rnacentral:rRNA from 1 species